AAGUCGUAACAAGGUUUCCGUAGGUGAACCUGCGGAAGGAUCAUUAAAAGUAAAUAUGUAUUCUCUCGAAUGUAAAUUUGUAAACCCCCCCCUCUGUGUACCUUACCUGUUGCUUCCGCUGGGCAGUGAUCUCGGUCACCUGCGCGCAGACGGCUUCGGCCGCGUCGGCGCGGAGAGUCCCCGCGAAUGGACCUAAAUGAAACUCUUUGCAUUCCCAUGUCAUCUGUCUGAACCUGUUUAUAACAAAUGUUAAAACUUUCAACAACGGAUCUCUUGGUUCUC
rnacentral:misc_RNA from 1 species